UACGUACGAGGCGAGCGUUAUCCGGAAUUGCUGGGCGUAAAGCGCGCGCAGGUGGCUUGCUAAGUCGGACGUGAAAUCUCCCGGCCUAACUGGGAGGGGUCGUCCGAGACUGGCCGGCUUGAGGCUGGCAGAGGUAGGUGGGAUUCCUGGUGUAGUGGUGAAAUGCGUAGAGAUCAGGAGGAACACCGGUGGCGAAGGCGGCCUACUGGGCCAGCACUGACGCUGAGGCGCGAAAGCUCGGGGAGCGAACGGG
rnacentral:rRNA from 1 species